GGUUGUGGGGCCACAGUGGAAGACUUAACCGGACCGAUUUCUGGAACAUUCGAGACUGCGGCAUCUUACAGCCGGACCAAGAUUUAGGUCUGCGCAGCCGGCGCGAUGGGCGGUCCGAUGGGCUUCAGGACUUGAUGGCGUAACCCUCUUCUUCCCCCACAGAACUCAAGAGGAGUGGAGCUCCGUCCGUGACAACCUUGUGGAGACUCGGCCCAGCUGAGGAUGGUGCUGGUGUGCAGAAGACGGCCGUCAUACCGUGGGGUCAUGUGCGCCCGUUUGCAUUUAUUUGAAACCCCCCCAAAAAGGAGAGAUGCAUGGCAGCCUGGCUCCGUGCAAUGCGGAUAGAUACAAAGGUCACAUGGAUGAGGGUACUGAUGUAGGAGGGGCUGACAGCCUCGAUGGAUUUGGGCUUUGGACGAGGAGAGACUGGGCCCUGGACGUGGCUGAAGGCACAGCGUGACCCGUGGCGAAGACCAGGCUCCGGUGCUGUUGAGCCGCCACUCUGCGGUUCCAGGACCGAAAGUGCUGAUGGAUGUGGCUCAUCACCCAGCUGCUCAAUGGAAACCUGAUGCAGCAUGGAAAAUACGAUU